rnacentral:misc_RNA from 1 species
ACAAAUAACGCGAAUUCCGCUCGCUCUGGCGAAGGGUCAACUUCCUCCGCUUGAGCGCGCAGAAAAAGCUGUGUCUCUUAAGAUUCAUUUCUUUCGAGAUGCGUAACAAACAAGUAACCUGGGGUACUUUAAGGUGGAGUGCUUUACUGUGCUUUACCUUGAAGCCCCUCUAAUAAUCCCAUUUUUUUACCAUUUUACCCUUGAUAAACUAUAAGACUGAUAUGACAUGAUAAAUGUCAAAUACUAAAAUUAUAAAA